rnacentral:rRNA from 1 species
UACAGAGGGUGCGAGCGUUAAUCGGAAUUACUGGGCGUAAAGCGCGCGUAGGCGGCUUUGCAAGUCGGGUGUGAAAUCCCCAGGCUUAACCUGGGAACUGCAUUCGAGACUGCAUUGCUAGAGUAUGGGAGAGGGAAGUGGAAUUUCAGGUGUAGCGGUGAAAUGCGUAGAUAUCUGAAGGAACAUCAGUGGCGAAAGCGACUUCCUGGACCAAUACUGACGCUCAGGUGCGAAAGCGUGGGGAGCAAACAGG